ACCUUUUUAGUUUAAAUGAACAUGGUAUUUUCAAUACUAAAGAUAAAAUAGGAA
rnacentral:tRNA from 1 species